rnacentral:misc_RNA from 1 species
UGUGCAUCGAACGGUUGGCAUGCUGUCUUUAUUAUCACCAUAUGCUCAUAGCAUUUUGGUGUUUCUCUUGGGUUCCUGUGUUGCCUACUGUUGAAAUAGUAUUAUUGUGGCUUAGAAUAUAUGUUCCAUUUAGAUCUCCUUGUAGGGAUGAUGGUGGAUUUUGAUGCAAUGCAUGCAUUCCAUCUUAGGUUUGCAUUGUGCAGCUUUUAUGGUAUGCAUGUAGUUGUUGUUCUUUUGGAUACGGUGCAUGCAAUGAAUGUGGCUUAAAUUGUCCCAUUUAGUUCUUCAAAUUAUGGUUGCCUUGGAAGACUUUUGCCCUUGGUGCUUGUUUUAUUUUUCGUUCAAGAAGAUAAUGCUUGUACCAUGAGCUUGGUCAUCGAUGGAUGC